UCCUUGCUCGCACUAGCUCUAUCUCAUUCUCCUUAUAUCUCAAAAUCUAGUCUUGUUGGAAAGAGAGAAGAAAAACAAAAAAAAUAAAUGUUUCUCUCCUUUGACCCUUAUAAGUUCUAGAGGAAAGGACUUAAUUGCCCAUCCUUACCAAUAACUCUUCCAAUUAUACCCCUCUUUCUUGCUUAAUCCCAUACUUAGUCAUAAAAUUAGUAGGGUU
rnacentral:lncRNA from 1 species